UUUUUUUUAAGGUUGACC
rnacentral:rRNA from 1 species